rnacentral:lncRNA from 1 species
UAUAGAAAGGGAAAGUAAACCAGAAAGUUAUAACUUAGUAUUAUGUUAUUUUCAUCUUCUGCUAUAUACACGAUAUGGAAUCUAAUUACCUUACUCCAUUGAAAGACCACCAAGUGAGUGGAGGUAGGAACUCUAUAGAACCAUCAGUUAAAAGAGGGAGAUCUGCAUCAACAACAGAAGUAGGAAGAAGAUCUACUUCUGCACCAAGUAAAGAAGCUGGUAGAACACCAACAAGAACAUCUACAAGAAGCAUAGCUGCACAAGUUUUAGGAUCUCAAGCAAGUAGCAACACAACCUUGGG